GAUGGACCCGCGGUGCAUUAGCUAGUUGGUGAGGUAACGGCUCACCAAGGCAGCGAUGCAUAGCCGACCUGAGAGGGUGAUCGGCCACAUUGGGACUGAGACACGGCCCAAACUCCUACGGGAGGCAGCAGUAGGGAAUCUUCGGCAAUGGACGAAAGUCUGACCGAGCAACGCCGCGUGAGUGAAGAAGGUUUUCGGAUCGUAAAACUCUGUUGUUAGAGAAGAACAAGGAUGAGAGUAAAAUGUUCAUCCCUUGACGGUAUCUAACCAGAAAGCCACGGCUAACUACGUGCCAGCAGCCGCGGUAAUACGUAGGUGGCAAGCGUUGUCCGGAUUUAUUGGGCGUAAAGCGAGCGCAGGCGGUUUCUUAAGUCUGAUGUGAAAGCCCCCGGCUCAACCGGGGAGGGUCAUUGGAAACUGGGAAACUUGAGUGCAGAAGAGGAGAGUGGAAUUCCAUGUGUAGCGGUGAAAUGCGUAGAUAUAUGGAGGAACACCAGUGGCGAAGGCGGCUCUCUGGUCUGUAACUGACGCUGAGGCUCGAAAGCGUGGGGAGCAAACAGGAUUAGAU
rnacentral:rRNA from 1 species